UAAGAAAUCCCCUUCUUGUAAAAUAAUGCA
rnacentral:piRNA from 1 species